rnacentral:ncRNA from 3 species
CCAGUGGGGCUGCUGUUAUCU